rnacentral:rRNA from 1 species
UACGUAGGGUGCGAGCGUUGUCCGGAAUUAUUGGGCGUAAAGAGCUCGUAGGCGGUUUGUCGCGUCGAGUGUGAAAACCCGGGGCUCAACCCCGGGCCUGCAUUCGAUACGGGCAGACUAGAGUUCGGUAGGGGAGUCUGGAAUUCCUGGUGUAGCGGUGAAAUGCGCAGAUAUCAGGAGGAACACCGGGGGCGAAGGCGGGACUCUGGGCCGAUACUGACGCUGAGGAGCGAAAGCGUGGGGAGCAAACAGG